UUACCUUUACGGGUAUUUUGGUCUACUUUUGAAACGAUACAGAGAAGAUUAGCAUGGCCCCUGCACUAAGGAUGACACGCUCAAUCAAAGAAGCUACCAAUUUUU
rnacentral:snRNA from 1 species